rnacentral:rRNA from 1 species
GAUGAACGCUGGCGGCGUGCCUAAUACAUGCAAGUCGAGCGAACGGACGAGAAGCUUGCUUCUCUGAUGUUAGCGGCGGACGGGUGAGUAACACGUGGAUAACCUACCUAUAAGACUGGGAUAACUUCGGGAAACCGGAGCUAAUACCGGAUAAUAUUUUGAACCGCAUGGUUCAAAAGUGAAAGACGGUCUUGCUGUCACUUAUAGAUGGAUCCGCGCUGCAUUAGCUAGUUGGUAAGGUAACGGCUUACCAAGGCAACGAUGCAUAGCCGACCUGAGAGGGGGGUGGGCCGCAGUGGAACUGAGACGCGGUCCAGGGUCCUGCGGGAGGGAGCGGUGGGGAAUGGUCCGCAAUGGGCGGAAGCCUGGCGGGGCGAGGGCGCGUGGGUGAUGAAGGUCUUCGGGUCGUGAGGCUCUGUUGUUAGGGGAGAACAGAUGUGUGGGGAACUGUGCGCAGCUUGACGGUGCCUAGUCAGAAAGAGGCGGCUAACUACGUG